rnacentral:rRNA from 1 species
AACGCGAAGAACCUUACCUACCCUUGACAUGCCAGGAACUUCGCAGAGAUGUGAAGGUGCCCGAAAGGGAGGCUGGGCGCAGGUGCUGCGUGGUUGUCGUCAGCUCGUGUCGUGAGAUGUUGGGUUAAGUCCCGCAACGAGCGCGACCCUUGUCACUAGUUGCUACGAAAGGGCACUCUAGUGAGACCGCCGGUGACAAACCGGAGGAAGGUGGGGAUGACGUCAAGUCCUCAUGGGCCUUAUGGGUAGGGCCUCACACGUCAUACAAUGGUCGGUACAGAGGGUUGCCAACCCGCGAGGGGGAGCCAAUCCCGGAAAACCGAUCGUAGUCCGGAUUGCAGUCUGCAACUCGACUGCAUGAAAUCGGAAUCGCUAGUAAUCGCGGAUCAGCAUGUCGCGGUGAAUACGUUCCCGGGUCUU